GCGAAGCAACUGUGUUAUUUAUUAUCGUAUACCCCUUACGCUAUUAAUUCAACUCUCUGCCUCUUUCUCUUAUACUCUUACUCUUUCUAUUACCUCAUUGGUUGUCUCGCACUGAUGACGUAAGACUACCUAUCUGCAGUCGCUACUGAAGACUUGAGCAAGAAGUGCGCUUUCUUUGAAUUAUCGAACGUGUAUGGUCGGUUGGCUUGUAUUUCUUGGGAGAAACGAAAGAAUGAGGAAAAUGGUAAAGAAAAUAGGAGGAUGUCUAUACAUAAGAAAAUGGAGGAAUAGUUAAAUCCUGGCUACAUUACCCAAAAGUGUAAAUCAAGAAAAAUUUGGCUGUUAUUUUUAGCAGGUUCAUUGGUUUGUGAAACUCUUUCUGAUAAUUAGAUCCAAUUGAAACAGAGGCAGUGCAUUUCAAAAGAAAUAUGUAUCGGAUUUUCGCAUGAAAAUUUAAGACCCAUUCGAUUUUGAUUGAUUGCCAGACUCGCGUCAUUAUUGAUAUAUGCUUAAUCAAAGAGUGUGUCAAGAUACGUAACAGCAAGAUAUCGUAUGAAAGUUAUACAGCGAGUGAAAACCAAGUGAAGAUAUUUAAGAAAGGAAGGAAGAAAGAAAGAAAGAAAGUAAGGAAAAAGAGAGAAAGCGAGAAAGGAAGAAAGAGAAGGCAUAAGCUUCUUAAACGUCAGAUGAAAUCUAAAACUUUCUUAGAAUCUGGGUAUUUCGUCUUUUCAUCUUCACACAUCAAGUCUUUUGGUGGUCCUUGCUCGCCUAAAGAAACACCUUCAUUUUCUUUCGUAAUCUGCUGCCAAAGCUGUUCGUCAUGUUUCUCGUCUCUAAACUUUUGAACUCACUGAUGUUGCAUCCAAUUCAGUCAGUCGAUGUUGUUGAAUGAUGAAAGGUAUGUGUUAUAGUCUAACACUCUUCAAUAAUUAUUCUCUGUACAGCCUAAAUUAUCAUCUUUUCGGCGACUGAAUUUCAUCGAGUAAAUUUUAUUCUUUCAUCGUUCAGUGUUAAGAUUUUUUCAGUUUAACGUUUCUAAUUCACUAAUAAAAUAUAUUCAGGUAGAAACCUCUAACAACCGACGAGGUUGGUCUCCUUUCAUUGCAGUCACUUCAUUUGCUAAAUAUAGUAACCGAAUUUCACUCAAAACACACCACAUUUAUCUUAAAACAAAGGACAGAUUGGAUUACAUAGU
rnacentral:misc_RNA from 1 species